GACAGAGGAGCCAAGCGUUAAUCGGAAUUACUGGGCGUAAAGCGUGCGCAGGCGGUUAUGUAAGACAGGUGUGAAAUCCCCGGGCUUAACCUGGGAACUGCAUUUGUGACUGCAUAGCUAGAGUACGGUAGAGGGGGAUGGAAUUCCGCGUGUAGCAGUGAAAUGCGUAGAUAUGCGGAGGAACACCGAUGGCGAAGGCAGCCCCCUGGGUCAAGAUUGACGCUCAUGCACGAAAGCGUGGGGAGCAAACAGG
rnacentral:rRNA from 1 species